rnacentral:tRNA from 1 species
AAAAGAUAAGCUAAUUUAAGCUAGCGGGUUCAUACCCCGUUAAUGUGAGCCGGAUCUCACUCUUUUU